rnacentral:rRNA from 1 species
AUACGGAGGGUGCAAGCGUUGUCCGGAAUCAUUGGGCGUAAAGAGUUCGUAGGUGGUAUGUUAAGUCCGGUGUUAAAGCCCGAAGCUCAACUUCGGUUCGGCACUGGAUACUGGCAAACUUGAAUGUGGUAGAGGUAAAGGGAAUUCCUGGUGUAGCGGUGAAAUGCGUAGAUAUCAGGAGGAACAUCGGUGGCGAAAGCGCUUUACUGGGCCAUUAUUGACACUGAGGAACGAAAGCCGGGGUAGCAAAUGGGAUUAGAUACCCCAGUAGUCCCGGCCGUAAACGAUGGAUACUAGGUGUUGCGGGUAUCGACCCCUGCAGUGCCAUAGCUAACGCGAUAAGUAUCCCGCCUGGGGAGUACGCACGCAAGUGUGAA